CAGCAGCCGCGGUAAUACGAAGGGGGCUAGCGUUGUUCGGAAUUACUGGGCGUAAAGCGCACGUAGGCGGAUCUUUAAGUCAGAGGUGAAAUCCCAAGGCUCAACCUUGGAACUGCCUUUGAUACUGGGGAUCUUGAGUCCGGAAGAGGUGAGUGGAACUGCGAGUGUAGAGGUGAAAUUCGUAGAUAUUCGCAAGAACACCAGUGGCGAAGGCGGCUCACUGGUCCGGUACUGACGCUGAGGUGCGAAAGCGUGGGGAGCAAACAGGAUUAGAUACCCCCGGUAGUCCCUGUCUCUUAUA
rnacentral:rRNA from 1 species